rnacentral:rRNA from 1 species
GUCGUAACAAGGUCUCCGUAGGUGAACCUGUGGAGGGAUCAUUACACAAAUAUGAAGGCGGGCUGGAACCUCUCGGGGUUACAGCCUUGCUGAAUUAUUCACCCUUGUCUUUUGCGUACUUCUUGUUUCCUUGGUGGGUUCGCCCACCACUAGGACAAACAUAAACCUUUUGUAAUUGCAAUCAGCGUCAGUAACAAAUUAAUAAUUACAACUUUCAACAACGGAUCUCUUGGUUCUGGCAUCGAUGAAGAACGCAGCGAAAUGCGAUAAGUAGUGUGAAUUGCAGAAUUCAGUGAAUCAUCGAAUCUUUGAACGCACAUUGCGCCCUUUGGUAUUCCAAAGGGCAUGCCUGUUCGAGCGUCAUUUGUACCCUCAAGCUUUGCUUGGUGUUGGGCGUCUUGUCUCUAGCUUUGCUGGAGACUCGCCUUAAAGUAAUUGGCAGCCGGCCUACUGGUUUCGGAGCGCAGCACAAGUCGCACUCUCUAUCAGCAAAGGUCUAGCAUCCAUUAAGCCUUUUUUUCAACUUUUGACCUCGGAUCAGGUAGGGAUACCCGCUGAACUA